UACGUAGGGUGCGAGCGUUAAUCGGAAUUACUGGGCGUAAAGCGUGCGCAGGCGGUUAUAUAAGACAGAGGUGAAAUCCCCGGGCUUAACCUGGGAACUGCAUUUGUGACUGCACGGCUAGAGUGCGGCAGAGGGGGAUGGAAUUCCGCGUGUAGCAGUGAAAUGCGUAGAUAUGCGGAGGAACACCGAUGGCGAAGGCAAUCCCCUGGGCCUGCACUGACGCUCAUGCACGAAAGCGUGGGGAGCAAACAGG
rnacentral:rRNA from 1 species